CAUGAAAUAAAACUCCAAUAUACAUGGGGAUGAAUUACUCAUCAUCCAAAUCAGAGAUUCUGAACUUGUCCAGACCAAUUCUACCUGGGACAAGAUCGGUAGCAGUUUAGUUUAAAGGGGUGGUGUUUGAUGGGAGAUGUUCAUCCAGGACACACAAUCCAGCUGGCAAGCAGUCUUAUCAUCCAGGUGAUGUUCCAGGUAAUUUGAAGAUUCACAUUGCAGCUUUUUAGUUAUAUAAUGUC